UACGUAGGGGGCAAGCGCUGUCCGGAAUCAUUGGGCGUAAAGAGCGUGUAGGCGGCCUGAUAAGUCGGCUGUGAAAGUCAAGGGCUCAACCCUUGAAUGCCGGCCGAUACUGUCAGGCUAGAGUCCGGAAGAGGCGAGUGGAAUUCCUGGUGUAGCGGUGAAAUGCGCAGAUAUCAGGAGGAACACCUAUGGCGAAGGCAGCUCGCUGGGACGGUACUGACGCUGAGACGCGAAAGCGUGGGGAGCGAACAGG
rnacentral:rRNA from 1 species